rnacentral:misc_RNA from 1 species
ACUGCCCUUUCCCAAUGGCACAAGGAAAAUAAGAUUAAAUAUAAAACUAUAAGAUUAAAUAUAAAACUAACACUAUGUUUGGAUGGGUAGAAAAGGGGGAGGAAGGAAAAUAACUAAGAGAAAAUAACUUUCAAAAGACACUUUCUUUUGUUUGGACAAAGGAGGAAAAAUAAGGAAGGGAAAAUAAAUCUUAUUUUCCUGUAGUUAUUUUCUCUCCAAAUUGGA